CUCAACCUUUAUAUAUGUUAUGUAUUAUCAUAAAAUACAACUUACAUUUUAAUAUUAAGGAUGAACACGAAUGCGGCCACUUUCGUUUUACACGAAAACCGUCUAAAAUUUAACUAAAAUGCUAGAAUUGUGAAGAUUUCAGUGAUUUAGCAUGACUUAAUGGUGCUUCUACUCGAUAUAUGUGCAUUGUAUUGUCAAAAACAGCCCAUAUUUAUGUAACAGAAGCAUUCUACUGUUCAAUUAAUAAAUAAAAGUUUACAUUUUAACAAUUUUGUAAAACUGCUAUAUUUUGGGGCCAAAAAGGGGUCUUACCGGACCUACUCCUUUAAU
rnacentral:lncRNA from 1 species